UCCCAUAUUAUUAAAUUUAGAUUUGAUUAUUAUAAAUCUAUUUGUCUAAAUAUUAUUGUUGACUUUAGUUGAAAAGUGAAUUGAUUAUGUGAAAGUUUUAUGUGAUUAUACUUGUUAUGUGGAUUGAUAUGGAUUUUACAAAUUAUGCGUCCUCCUUCUUUUCUCUGAUUCCGAGGACGGAAUCCCUAUAAGGAGGGUAGAUUGUAAUGACCCGGAUUUUUAAAAAUAUUUUUAUUAGUAUUAAAAGUGAUUUUCUUCAAAGAAGGGAAUAAGAUUUAAUAUUUUAUUGCAGUUUAAUGAGUUUUCAAGGUUUUAUAUUUAAAUCCCGGGUUAUUGUGUUAUUGAUAAAUAAUUGUACUUUCAAAACUGAUUUUCAUAUAUUGUUUUGAAAAUUCUGUAUGGAUAUUAUGUGAAUAUAUGUGUUAUGUGAUUAAGUGGUAUUGGUGGAUUUGUUGGUUAAUUAAUUAUGGUUAAUUAUGAGUAUUAUAUGAUUAAUAUAUGAAUUUUUGUGAAUUUUGUGUUAUCUAGUUUAUUGAGCUGAAUGCUCGUAUAUGUUCGUAUUCGCGAGAUUUCAAUUUCUAUAUGCUCAGGAGAAAAUAUAGUUUAUUUGGAUAUUUUCAUAUCGAUUUAUGGAAUGUUAGAUGAUUUUAUAAUCGAUUUACGGAUUUAAUUGCGUAUAUUUAUAUUUACUUAUUAAUUAUUUGACUUCCGUAAAACCGUUCACUCGUAACGAGGUAGCAAAUUUUCUUUCCGGAAGUUUCAACAAAACUCACCUUUAGCCUAAUUUGAAUAUUCCGGACAUUUUUCGUGUUUUGACUUUUUCGAUCCGGAGUACGGUUUUCCCCGGAGUCGGUCCGGCGGAGUUUUUCGGGUAUUUUAAUUGUUGAUAAUUAUCCAGUUUGUCUCGAUAAGCGUGAAACUAGAUAUUUUGAUUAUUAUAUUAAUUCUUAUCUUGUAAUAAUUGCAAAUGGGACCCGCAUACUAAUGAUUGAUUUAAAACACCCCGUUUUGAUGAUUAUCUCGAAAACCGGUACCGAUUGGACCCCGCUUUAUUAAUAUAAAGCUAUUAAAUACGUAUUUUCAUGUCAUAAACGAUCCAAAGGGGUACCAAUUAUUUGUAAAUAUAAAUAGACUUUUCUAUAGCUGAUUUUCAACCGUAAAUCAUUUCACCAGUUUCUCUGCACGAAUACCGAGAGAAACCGAAGUAUGUUCUUCGUGUUCUUCAUAAUCAAAUGAGGAUUUGGAGGUGUUAUUGGAAUCCGAUGGAGGCGUAUGAAUAGUCAAAACGAAGCUCUCGACGCGUAGAAUCUGGUACAAUCAUCCGUUUAUGUGCAGAUUUGUCAGGAUUUGGACGAGGCGUGUACGUUCGAAGACGUUCAGAAAGUCAAAUGGUGUUGCAAAGCGAAUAAGGGAUGAACCGAGGAAGCGAAGAUGUACGGUAGAUAGAGUAUAGCCAGAUAUGGUCUAGAGACUAUGAUAUGCAUAGAGUGUGAAAGUGGAAAGAUGAGAUUGAGAUGUGAGACUGGAGUCAGAUUUAAGGCAAGUAUCCUACACCUUGCUUUUGGAUAUAUUGCAUAUUCUGAUCCAUUCUUUUCUAUAUGUGUUGCAAGUAUCCUAAACCUUUCUCUUGGAUAUAUUGCAAUUAUUCUGAUCCAUUCCUUUGGUAUAUGUUUCAAGUAUUCAUACCUUUCUUUUCAAUGUUCGAAAGUGCGAGUAUUCUGACCCAUUCUUUCUAAUCUUCAAGUUUCUAAAGAAUUUUCGCUUUACAAAUUAAUUCGAAGUUCAGAUUGUCAUUGAAGCAUGUGUUGCUCAGUGAUAGUUAGAGCUUUGAAUGAAUUGGGAUCUUCUUGAUUAUUCAACCCGCCAUUGUCAUGCUGGUUUAGCAGGCUAAAUUCAGUUGCUUAGCCGAUAAUGGAGGAUACUGAAUAGUUGAGGAUUUCCUGAACUGUGAUUUAUGAAAUGAUGGAUCAUGAUUUAUGAAUAGAUUGUUAUCAAAGUUUGAAUUGGAAUUAUUCUGUUGUUGAUGAUAUUUAUGAUGAUGUUCUGUUAAUUUAUAUUGGCUUCUUGAAUUGAAUUAGAGAAUUGGAUUAUUGUUUUUAUAUAAACCUGUGGACCAGAUUCGUGGUCAUGUUAGGCCAAUGAGUGCCUUGGAUCCAGUGAUAGAGCAUGGCGGGGCCUGCUCGGGGUUAGUGCGGAACUGAUCAGCUGCCUAACCUUGGUUUUAAUUAAAAUGUGAUAGUCCAAUUCAAUAAUUCUUUGGAAAGAUUGAAUUUCUCAGUUUAAAUGCUGCAAGGUAUUGUAAAUCAUUCUAUACAAUACCAUGAACUCAUGAACUCAGGUUGAAUCCUCUUAUAUCUUGAACUCGUGAACUUCUAUUAUAUCAUUUCAGAACUAUCAUUGUUUAUUAUUACUUGCUGAGCAUUGUUGCUCACCCUUGCUAUUCCUUUCUAACCAUUUCAGAAAGGCUGAAAGAUGAGAUGAUUGAUUGAGAAUGUGGAUAAGGCUAAUGCUAGGCGAGGAGACAGAGUUGAGGAUCCAGUAAUCAGGAGUGAUCAGGAAAGUUGCUAAGGUUGGGGCUAGCUAGGGUUAUGCUAUGAAGAUUCAAAUGUAAGUCAUGGCUGGAGUAGGUUGACAGUGAUUCUUCAUAUCGAAGAUGAUUUGAUUUGGUAAGAAAUGUUGUGUAAUAUUAGUGGUGGAUUCUAAUUUCAAUACUGUAACCUGGAAGCGAUCCUGUUGUUUUGGGGGUGAAGAUUUUCUCUUUCAAAUCAUUUAUUUAACGUCUUUCAAAUCUUUUAUUAUGGCUUUCAAGUUUGAAUUUCAAGUUUUAAAUUCUAUGGAUUUUAUUAUCUUUAUAAAAAAAUAUAUUGCAGGUUUUCAAAAGUGUUUAAAAAUGGGUUUUUGUGUGGUGACGUCAGAAUCCAGGCCCCCGGAUUCCUGGACUGUCACAGUUGGUAUCAGAGCAACAGGUUAUAAGUAUUUGAAAUUAGAAUAUAGAUCAUAGUUAUAAGUUUUCUAGAGAAGAAUGUGGUGUAACCUCACAUAGAGGUAUGGUGAGAUUAUUUAGAAAUAGUCUAGAGAUAUGAUAGAGGUAUAGAAUCUGGUUAGACGAUCAAGUUGAGUGUAUAAGUUUAGAGAGAUUUUGAUUCCUAAGUUAGACAUAGGAUUUCUACUAUGUUGACUAAUUGAGAUGAUGAAUUGUGUGAAAGGUCAAGAUUAGACCUAGAUAGAAGAGUUUGAUAGUGAAUGACUGAGUUGAGAAUGGUGAAAAUGCAGAGUUCAGAGUAUUCUGACUAUACUGCAUAUUUGAAAUUGGAUUAUUGUAUUGAUUUAAGGAUGAUAUAAAUGCAUGGUUCAUAGUAUGUUGACCAUGUCAGAUAUUUGGAAGAUGUAUAUUGUUUUGAGUGAAGAUAUGAAGAGUAAGUGUAGAGUAUGAGUUGUAUUGGAUUAGAAGGAGAGAUUGGUAGAUAGAGGUUGAUAGGUGAGAAGUGAAUGAUAGAGAGUACGUGGAAUUGAGUCCAGUUAUUAGAGAUGAUGUCUACGAGUAAGUUAGAACGUUAGUCCUCGACGACAACGCUUCGAGCUAAUCGGGAUUUCAAAUGGCAUCAAGGUGGGCCCAUAACCCACAGGUUGAUGAUCCAGACAAUCGAAGAUACGUUACGCGUUUGUGCUAUGGAUUUCAAAGGCAACUGGGAUAAAGUAGAAGAAUGUAAACUACAUGGACCAGAGUUAUUACGGACGAUAACGUCUACGAUGACAUCUUACGAGGCUAAUACGAGUCAAAUCGAUUGAUCAUCAAGAACGUUGAAAAGAAGACAUAUAUCGUACAAUGAUUUAUUGAAGUAGAGUCGGAAUCUGAGAAGACCUUGGCAAUACCUCUCUUCAACUAAAGAUUCUUUUGAUUGUUUUCUCAUCAGUGAGAUAUUAUCAUGAUAUCUUUUCUACAAAAGUUUUGAUAAAUGAGAUCUUCAAUUUCUCAAAUUCUAAGAUGACAUUGAUAUUGAUUAUUGGUAUGAGUUGGAAAGCAAAGAUGUGUGAUAAAGGUUUGUUGUGAAGAGAUAGUGAUGUUCCUUGAUAUUGUUUGACAUUUCUUGACAUUCCUUGAUACCCUUUCAUCUUCCUUGAUAUCCCUUAGUGUUCUUUGAUAUUGUUGAUAUUCCUUGAUAUUCUCUGAUAUUCCUUAACAUUUCUUCAAUUUGAUUGGGAUGAACAACCCUAUGUAUAGGGGACACAAGGUAUACCUGUCUGUGUGAUAGGAGUUGGAUGGGACGCCAUCACUUGUGUGUGUUGUGAUUACAAGAAGGUUAACAACCUUUAGUAGUGUCUACUGUGGACACGCAACAUUAAGUUCAUUUGAUCGUAUUGAUCUCCCAGUCACUCUUAUAUUCCAAUGUGACCUAUUUUGAAAACACCUCGUUCUAUUCGAAAAUUCCCAAAGAUCGAUUCUUGGGAAAUGAAUUUUGCAAUCGCGAAAGUUUGAUGUUCCUUUUUCCAUUAAAGCUAAAGGUAUGCCAAGGCCGAUCAAAGGUGAAUGAUGAUACGUUAUUACGAAGUGUAUGGUGGAAUCUUCAAAGUGAUACGUUUGAGUUCUCUUUGCGGAUUCCGAGGGCGGAAUCCUUAUAAGGGGGGUAGAAUGUAAUAUCCCAUAUUAUUAAAUUUAGAUUUGAUUAUUAUAAAUCUAUUUGUCUAAAUAUUAUUGUUGACUUUAGUUGAAAAGUGAAUUGAUUAUGUGAAAGUUUUAUGUGAUUAUACUUGUUAUGUGGAUUGAUAUGGAUUUUACAAAUUAUGCGUCCUCCUUCUUUUCUCUGAUUCCGAGGACGGAAUCCCUAUAAGGAGGGUAGAUUGUAAUGACCCGGAUUUUUAAAAAUAUUUUUAUUAGUAUUAAAAGUGAUUUUCUUCAAAGAAGGGAAUAAGAUUUAAUAUUUUAUUGCAGUUUAAUGAGUUUUCAAGGUUUUAUAUUUAAAUCCCGGGUUAUUGUGUUAUUGAUAAAUAAUUGUACUUUCAAAACUGAUUUUCAUAUAUUGUUUUGAAAAUUCUGUAUGGAUAUUAUGUGAAUAUAUGUGUUAUGUGAUUAAGUGGUAUUGGUGGAUUUGUUGGUUAAUUAAUUAUGGUUAAUUAUGAGUAUUAUAUGAUUAAUAUAUGAAUUUUUGUGAAUUUUGUGUUAUCUAGUUUAUUGAGCUGAAUGCUCGUAUAUGUUCGUAUUCGCGAGAUUUCAAUUUCUAUAUGCUCAGGAGAAAAUAUAGUUUAUUUGGAUAUUUUCAUAUCGAUUUAUGGAAUGUUAGAUGAUUUUAUAAUCGAUUUACGGAUUUAAUUGCGUAUAUUUAUAUUUACUUAUUAAUUAUUUGACUUCCGUAAAACCGUUCACUCGUAACGAGGUAGCAAAUUUUCUUUCCGGAAGUUUCAACAAAACUCACCUUUAGCCUAAUUUGAAUAUUCCGGACAUUUUUCGUGUUUUGACUUUUUCGAUCCGGAGUACGGUUUUCCCCGGAGUCGGUCCGGCGGAGUUUUUCGGGUAUUUUAAUUGUUGAUAAUUAUCCAGUUUGUCUCGAUAAGCGUGAAACUAGAUAUUUUGAUUAUUAUAUUAAUUCUUAUCUUGUAAUAAUUGCAAAUGGGACCCGCAUACUAAUGAUUGAUUUAAAACACCCCGUUUUGAUGAUUAUCUCGAAAACCGGUACCGAUUGGACCCCGCUUUAUUAAUAUAAAGCUAUUAAAUACGUAUUUUCAUGUCAUAAACGAUCCAAAGGGGUACCAAUUAUUUGUAAAUAUAAAUAGACUUUUCUAUAGCUGAUUUUCAACCGUAAAUCAUUUCACCAGUUUCUCUGCACGAAUACCGAGAGAAACCGAAGUAUGUUCUUCGUGUUCUUCAUAAUCAAAUGAGGAUUUGGAGGUGUUAUUGGAAUCCGAUGGAGGCGUAUGAAUAGUCAAAACGAAGCUCUCGACGCGUAGAAUCUGGUACAAUCAUCCGUUUAUGUGCAGAUUUGUCAGGAUUUGGACGAGGCGUGUACGUUCGAAGACGUUCAGAAAGUCAAAUGGUGUUGCAAAGCGAAUAAGGGAUGAACCGAGGAAGCGAAGAUGUACGGUAGAUAGAGUAUAGCCAGAGAUGGUCUAGAGACUAUGAUAUGCAUAGAGUGUGAAAGUGGAAAGAUGAGAUUGAGAUGUGAGACUGGAGUCAGAUUUAAGGCAAGUAUCCUACACCUUGCUUUUGGAUAUAUUGCAUAUUCUGAUCCAUUCUUUUCUAUAUGUGUUGCAAGUAUCCUAAACCUUUCUCUUGGAUAUAUUGCAAUUAUUCUGAUCCAUUCCUUUGGUAUAUGUUUCAAGUAUUCAUACCUUUCUUUUCAAUGUUCGAAAGUGCGAGUAUUCUGACCCAUUCUUUCUAAUCUUCAAGUUUCUAAAGAAUUUUCGCUUUACAAAUUAAUUCGAAGUUCAGAUUGUCAUUGAAGCAUGUGUUGCUCAGUGAUAGUUAGAGCUUUGAAUGAAUUGGGAUCUUCUUGAUUAUUCAACCCGCCAUUGUCAUGCUGGUUUAGCAGGCUAAAUUCAGUUGCUUAGCCGAUAAUGGAGGAUACUGAAUAGUUGAGGAUUUCCUGAACUGUGAUUUAUGAAAUGAUGGAUCAUGAUUUAUGAAUAGAUUGUUAUCAAAGUUUGAAUUGGAAUUAUUCUGUUGUUGAUGAUAUUUAUGAUGAUGUUCUGUUAAUUUAUAUUGGCUUCUUGAAUUGAAUUAGAGAAUUGGAUUAUUGUUUUUAUAUAAACCUGUGGACCAGAUUCGUGGUCAUGUUAGGCCAAUGAGUGCCUUGGAUCCAGUGAUAGAGCAUGGCGGGGCCUGCUCGGGGUUAGUGCGGAACUGAUCAGCUGCCUAACCUUGGUUUUAAUUAAAAUGUGAUAGUCCAAUUCAAUAAUUCUUUGGAAAGAUUGAAUUUCUCAGUUUAAAUGCUGCAAGGUAUUGUAAAUCAUUCUAUACAAUACCAUGAACUCAUGAACUCAGGUUGAAUCCUCUUAUAUCUUGAACUCGUGAACUUCUAUUAUAUCAUUUCAGAACUAUCAUUGUUUAUUAUUACUUGCUGAGCAUUGUUGCUCACCCUUGCUAUUCCUUUCUAACCAUUUCAGAAAGGCUGAAAGAUGAGAUGAUUGAUUGAGAAUGUGGAUAAGGCUAAUGCUAGGCGAGGAGACAGAGUUGAGGAUCCAGUAAUCAGGAGUGAUCAGGAAAGUUGCUAAGGUUGGGGCUAGCUAGGGUUAUGCUAUGAAGAUUCAAAUGUAAGUCAUGGCUGGAGUAGGUUGACAGUGAUUCUUCAUAUCGAAGAUGAUUUGAUUUGGUAAGAAAUGUUGUGUAAUAUUAGUGGUGGAUUCUAAUUUCAAUACUGUAACCUGGAAGCGAUCCUGUUGUUUUGGGGGUGAAGAUUUUCUCUUUCAAAUCAUUUAUUUAACGUCUUUCAAAUCUUUUA